rnacentral:rRNA from 1 species
GACCCCGCACAAGUAGUGGAGCAUGUGGUUUAAUUCGAAGAUACGCGCAGAACCUUACCAACACUUGACAUGUUCGUCGCGACUUUAAGAGAUUAAAGUUUUCGGUUCGGCCGGACGAAACACAGGUGCUGCAUGGCUGUCGUCAGCUCGUGUCGUGAGAUGUUGGGUUAAGUCCCGCAACGAGCGCAACCCUCACUUUUAGUUGCCAUCAUUAAGUUGGGCACUCUGAAAGAACUGCCAGUGAUAAGCUGGAGGAAGGUGGGGAUGACGUCAAGUCCUCAUGGCCCUUACGUGUUGGGCUACACACGUGCUACAAUGGUAUCUACAACAGGAAGCAAAACUGCGACGUUAAGCAAAUCCUUAAAAAAUACCUCAGUUCGGAUUGCACUCUGCAACUCGAGUGCAUGAAGCUGGAAUUACUAGUAAUCGUGGAUC